UACAGAGGGUGCGAGCGUUAAUCGGAAUUACUGGGCGUAAAGCGUGCGUAGACGGUUAUGUAAGUCAGAUGUGAAAGCCCCGGGCUCAACCUGGGAAUUGCAUUUGAGACUGCAUAGCUAGGGUGCGGAAGAGGGAAGCGGAAUUUCCGGUGUAGCGGUGAAAUGCGUAGAUAUCGGAAGGAACACCAGUGGCGAAAGCGGCUUCCUGGUCCAGCACCGACGUUCAGGCACGAAAGCGUGGGGAGCAAACAGG
rnacentral:rRNA from 1 species